AGAGCGAACGCUGGCGGCAGGCUUAACACAUGCAAGUCGAGCGGGCGUAGCAAUACGUCAGCGGCAGACGGGUGAGUAACACGUGGGAACGUACCUUUUGGUUCGGAACAACACAGGGAAACUUGUGCUAAUACCGGAUAAGCCCUUACGGGGAAAGAUUUAUCGCCGAAAGAUCGGCCCGCGUCUGAUUAGCUUGUUGGUGAGGUAACGGCUCACCAAGGCUACGAUCAGUAGCUGGUCUGAGAGGAUGAUCAGCCACACUGGGACUGAGACACGGCCCAGACUCCUACGGGAGGCAGCAGUGGGGAAUAUUGGACAAUGGGCGCAAGCCUGAUCCAGCCAUGCCGCGUGAGUGAUGAAGGCCCUAGGGUUGUAAAGCUCUUUGUGCGGGAAGAUAAUGACGGUACCGCAAGAAUAAGCCCCGGCUAACUUCGUGCCAGCAGCCGC
rnacentral:rRNA from 1 species